rnacentral:rRNA from 1 species
UACGUAGGGGGCAAGCGUUGUCCGGAAUUAUUGGGCGUAAAGCGCGUGUAGGCGGCCAGAUAAGUCCGCUGUGAAAUCUCGAGGCUCAACUUCGAGCUGUCGGUGGAAACUGUCUGGCUAGAGUCCGGAAGAGGAGAAUGGAAUUCCUGGUGUAGCGGUGAAAUGCGCAGAUAUCAGGAAGAACACCCGCGGCGAAGGCGGUUCUCUGGGACGGUACUGACGCUGAGACGCGAAAGCGUGGGGAGCGAACAGG